UCUUGGUCAUUUAGAGGAAGUAAAAGUCGUAACAAGGUUUCCGUAGGUGAACCUGCGGAGGGAUCAUUACAAGUGACCCCGGUCUAACCACCGGGAUGUUCAUAACCCUUUGUUGUCCGACUCUGUUGCCUCCGGGGCGACCCUGCCUUCGGGCGGGGGCUCCGGGUGGACACUUCAAACUCUUGCGUAACUUUGCAGUCUGAGUAAACUUAAUUAAUAAAUUAAAACUUUUAACAACGGAUCUCUUGGUUCUGGCAUCGAUGAGAACGCAGCCCCCCCGUGCCCCCGCCCCGCCCGCCGCGCGCGGCGGGCCG
rnacentral:rRNA from 1 species